CCUACGGGAGGCAGCAGUGGGGAAUAUUGGACAAUGGGGGCAACCCUGAUCCAGCCAUGCCGCGUGUGUGAAGAAGGCCCUCGGGUUGUAAAGCACUUUCAGUGAGGAAGAACGCCUAGUGGUUAAUACCCAUCAGGAAAGACAUCACUCACAGAAGAAGCACCGGCUAACUCCGUGCCAGCAGCCGCGGUAAUACGGAGGGUGCGAGCGUUAAUCGGAAUUACUGGGCGUAAAGCGCGCGUAGGUGGCUUGAUAAGCCGGUUGUGAAAGCCCCGGGCUCAACCUGGGAACGGCAUCCGGAACUGUCAAGCUAGAGUGCAGGAGAGGAAGGUAGAAUUCCCGGUGUAGCGGUGAAAUGCGUAGAGAUCGGGAGGAAUACCAGUGGCGAAGGCGGCCUUCUGGACUGACACUGACACUGAGGUGCGAAAGCGUGGGUAGCAAACAGGAUUAGAUACCCUUGUAGUC
rnacentral:rRNA from 1 species